AUUUGAUUUGAUUUAAGUUUCUUAUUAAAUAAUUGAAUCGAUGUGGUUUGAGUUUUCAAAUAUGUUUAUGGUAAGUGUUGUUUCGUGAAAUAAAGUCUAGAAUAAUUCCCAGAAAAAAAAUUAUUGAUCAUCAAAUAUGCAAUGACAUUAUACUUCAAGAAAACUUCAUGAGCUUCCAUUCUAUGACAUAAACCCUGCCUGCCAAAGAGUUUUUCAAACCCUAAACCCCAAAACUUAACCUCAAACCUUAUAUCAUACUUCAAACCCUAAACUUUAAAUACAAAAUCUAAAUUUUAAACUUGAUCCUUAAUCAAAACUCAAAAUUUAUUCAUUUUAAAAGUCAAACAUUAAAUCUUAAAUCUACACCCUAUAUCUAAUAUCCUAUACCCCAAACUUAAACUAUACAUACAAAAUCAUAGAUAGAAUCUUUAGAAACCUAUAAUAGAGACUUUAAAUUUAAACUCCGAGUAUAUUCGAAAACUCAUAUACUUAAUCUCAAAUAUUAACACUAACCCCUAAACUACAUAUCUCAUUUUUAAAUAUAUCAUAAAACAUUGAAUCUUAACUUUUAAAUAAAUUAUAAUUUCGUAAAAAAAUUAAAAUUUUAAAUACAAAAUUUAGAUUUCAAGUUUUAAGUUAUGAUACUAAAGUAUUUAAAACUUAGAUGAUUUUUAUAAUAGUUAUAGAUAAAUAAAAAGAUAAUCUGUAUUGUUUUUUUUUUGAACUUUGGAUCAAAGUUCCAAAAUGAUUCUUGUGUCAAUCCUCACAUUUUGUUCCCGUUGGUUUACUUGUUUUUAAUGACAUGUAUCAUCUUCUACGCCCUUGGAUGAUAUUGAAUCGACGAUUGAGAUUAAUUAUUCUUUUAUUCUUUUUUAAUUAUUUUUUUUUGAGAUCUACGAGUCAGAGAAACGAGAGAGAGAGAGAGAAGAUGGAGUUCCUAGAUGGUAGAGAAAGAAGAAGACGCGACGCGCCGUCACCACCACCAUCGCUCGUUACCAUCACCACCAUCGCCAUCUCUCCCAUCCCCAAUCGCUCGUCACCACCACCAUCGCUUCUCAGAUCCGUCUUCACCGGAGUCGCCACCACCACCGUCACGCUCGAAGCUUGUUCGUAAGAAAGUGGUCAUUGAUAAGGCGAAGUAAAGUUUUAUGCUUUAUAUGGUUUGAUUUGAAGUUAAAGUUCAUUUCUUUAGUUAUGUGUGUUGCAGAAAUCCAAGAGGGAUGACUCUGCCAAAACUAUGUCCCAACGUUUGCAAGGUGGUGGUCGUGACUCGUGAGCAAGAGCUGGUGUUGUGCAGAGGAGAUGUCUCGAACUUGUCUCCGUCUAGACUUACAUGAAUGUUGCAGUCUCUCACUGGAAUGCCAAGUGCAGCCUUUGCUUAUGUCUGUUGAUUCAUUGCCUCGAAGGUUUAUACAGCUAAAACAUUGCUCUAUACGACAGACUUUAAGACAAUUGUGCUUAAGUAUGGGUGUUGAGAUAAGUUAUCUUGUACUGAUUGGUUCCAGUCUUAAGUAUGGGUGUAUGUCCUCAAAUCAUUGUAUUUACCAACACUUGUUUUGUGUGCUUUUCAGAUACUGCGGAAGCUUGAGGAAAGUGGAAGAGACAGAUGAACCUUGAGGAAAGUCGAAGUGAAACAAGGAGCUUGAGGAAGGCGGCGGCUUAGGUUUAGGUUUAGGGUUAAUUAGAUUUUGGUUUAAUGUGUUUUAAUUAGUUUUUUUUUUAAUAUGUACUGGUUUAGUUUUGUAAAAUUGAUUUUAUUUGUAAACUGAUUUUAAUAAUUUAAAUUCUUUCUAUUA